rnacentral:snoRNA from 1 species
AAGACUGUACUUUUAGGGAUCAUUUCUAUAGUUUUUUUUUUAACUAGAGAAGUUUCUCUGAAGGUGUAGAGCGAAAAAAAAAAGGGU